AACGAACGCUGGCGGCAUGCCUAACACAUGCAAGUCGAACGAAGGCUUCGGCCUUAGUGGCGCACGGGUGCGUAACGCGUGGGAACCUGCCCCUCGGUUCGGAAUAACAGUUAGAAAUAGACUGCUAAUACCGGAUGAUGACCUCGGUCCAAGAUUUAUCGCCGAGGGAUGGCCCGCGUAGGAUUAGCUAGUUGGUGGGGUAAAGGCCUACCAAGGCGACGAUCCUUAGCUGGUCUGAGAGGAUGAUCAGCCACACUGGGACUGAGACACGGCCCAGACUCCUACGGGAGGCAGCAGUGGGGAAUAUUGGACAAUGGGCGAAAGCCUGAUCCAGCAAUGCCGCGUGAGUGAUGAAGGCCUUAGGGUUGUAAAGCUCUUUUACCAGGGAUGAUAAUGACAGUACCUGAGAAUAAGCUCCGGCUAACUCCGUGCCAGCAGCCGUCGGUAAUGUCGAUAUCG
rnacentral:rRNA from 1 species